rnacentral:rRNA from 1 species
AUACCAAGGCGCUUGAGAGAACUCGGGUAAAGGAACUAGGCAAAAUGGUGCCGUAACUUCGGGAGAAGGCACGCUGGUGGUAAGUGAAAUCCCUGCGGGUGGAGCUGAAGCCAGUCGAAGAUACCAGGCCCCUGCGACUGUUUAUUAAAAACACAGCACUGUGCAAACACGAAAGUGGACGUAUACGGUGUGACGCCUGCCCGGUGCCGGAAGG